rfam:Camelus ferus unplaced genomic scaffold scaffold1359, whole genome shotgun sequence.
GAGGGUGUAGCUCAGUGGUAGAGUGCAUGCCUAGCAUGCACAAGAUCCUAGGGUCAAUCCCCAGUACCUCCA